GAGGGUGGGGGUGACAGAGCUGGUGGCAUUUGUGCUGAAUGCCGCUACAUUUGAAAAGUUUCAGCUCUCUGUAAGUAUGACCCUGAAGCAUGUGGCCCAGGGCCUAGGGACAGGCUCUGGGGGCAGACCCGCCUGGCUUCUGACUCCACCCUGCCCCGGAGGGCCAGGAGAUGCUAAACAAAGAGAGAGAGAGACAUCGAU